CUAGCUGUAUGAUCACGGUCUCGACCUCUGCUUAAAUUCAUUUUCUCCUUCAUGAUCUGUAAAGACGUGUCACGUGUUAAAUUCUUUGUAAAAUUAGGGAGUGAUUUUGUAUACGAAAUGAAGACUUCGGACCUUAUUUGUAUGGUUGGUUAGCUUACCUUGACCAUCUCACGUGUUUUUUCAAUGAAAUUUCGUCGGAUGGUCAAUUCCUUAUUAUCGAUUUUAAAUUUAUUCGGAUUUUUCUCUACGAUACGUAUCGUGUCUUCGAGAUCUUCUAGAUCCCACUCAAUGGAUCUAAGAGCGUUUCGCAAUUCGGUGGUAGUCCACUCAAGUUCUUCACGGGAAACCGGAAGUCCACCGACUACUGGAGUUGACGUUGCACUCGAUCCAUCUUGCAACUCUGUCCACCGUCCGUACAAUGCACGUGUUUUAUUGAGAGCUUUACACACCUCGCUAGAAGUAUGAAAGAAGAUUGUAAUAAUUCCUAUCAUCUUGAAAAACAUUCCUUAAAUCCCA
rnacentral:misc_RNA from 1 species